AACAUAAUAUAUUCUAUGUUACGGCCAUAGAGAUGAUAGAAUAUUCUAUCUUAUGUUU
rnacentral:tRNA from 2 species